UCCACAAGUGAAAGAGAGAGAGAGAGAGAGAAAGAAAGAAAAGAAGAGGGAGAGCUUCGAAAUCCCUAAGGUAAGCAUUGAGAUUCAUAGUUUUCUUCUUCUUCUUGAUUCUAUGUAUUUUGGGAUGGAAUGGUGGUGAUAGGUUUAAUUUCACAAGGACCUAGAGAGAGAGUUUGAUAGAUAAUCAUCCUACACAUACAAUGGGUGUUGGAGCUGGCAAUCAAAUGGAGAGGCCUUUAGAUUUUGUCACUUGGGUGUACUCAAGGUCAGGAAGGACCUUGUGUUUGUGUUUUGUUGAUCAUGGGUUCACCUGAAUGUUGUGUUAGAAGCGAAAAUGAUUAAGGAGGCGGAAGGAUUAUUGGCAGCUUGGCUUGUGUGUUAAGGAUGAAUGGAUUCAAUGAAAUGCGUGUUGAUCGAGGAUGACGUUAUUUAGUCUUUUGAAUUAUGUUUCUUUUGUAAUUCCGCAUUUACUUUUUAAACACUUGAAUUAAAGUUUAUGUUUUAUGCUUUAUUAAGCAAUGGGUACCCAUACCAUAUUUUAUAUCUUAUUUUGUAAUUUGCACAAUAUUUAUUUUGGAGUUUUAAUAAAGUUAUGA